GACGAAGGAUGCAAGCGUUAUCCGGAUUCAUUGGGUUUAAAGGGUGCGUAGGCGGCCCGGUAAGUCAGUGGUGAAAUCUCCUUGCUUAACAAGGAAACUGCCAUUGAUACUGAUGGUCUUGAGUACAUUUGAGGUGGGCGGAAUGUGUCAUGUAGUGGUGAAAUACUUAGAUAUGACACAGAACUCCGAUUGCGAAGGCAGCUCACUAAACUGUAACUGACGCUGAGGCACGAAAGCGUGGGGAUCAAACAGG
rnacentral:rRNA from 1 species